rnacentral:rRNA from 1 species
AUUGAACGCUGGCGGCAGGCCUAACACAUGCAAGUCGAGCGGAAGCAGGGAGCUUGCUCCUGGAUUCAGCGGCGGACGGGUGAGUAAUGCCUAGGAAUCUGCCUGGUUGUGGGGGAUAACGUCCGGAAACGGGCGCUAAUACCGCAUCCGUCCUGAGGGUGAAAGAGGGGGAUCUUCGGCUCUCACGCUAUCUGAUGAGCCUAGGUCGGAUUAGCUAGUUGGUGGGGUAAAGGCCUACCAAGGCGACGAUCCGUAACUGGUCUGAGAGGAUGAUCAGUCACACUGGAACUGAGACACGGUCCAGACUCCUACGGGAGGCAGCAGUGGGGAAUAUUGGACAAUGGGCGAAAGCCUGAUCCAGCCAUGCCGCGUGUGUGAAGAAGGUCUUCGGAUUGUAAAGCACUUUUAGUAGGGAGGAAGGGCAGUAAGUUAAUACCUUGCUGUUUUGACGUUACCAACAGAAUAAGCACCGGCUAACUUCGUG